GCAAAACCAACUAAACCAUAUCCUGUACUACUUUCUUAAAAAUGAGCCAAGCAAAUCGUGAGCUACACUGAGCUUGACUCACUAAAUGCUUGCUUGAGUUCGUUCCUUAAGGUUAGUGAAUCAAAGUCAAGUGCACUUUGGGAACUCUUUAUAUAAAUGAACCAAACUUGAGUUCAGUGAAGUUUAGCUCAUUGACACUUGUGAACUGGCUCGUGAGUCAAAUCAUAUAUAAUUAUAAAUUAUUCUCAUUAAUGAUUUGAUUUUGAGUAUCAUUUUUAUGGUUAUCUACUUAUGAUCUGUUUCAAAUUUCUGAUUCAUAUAAAAAAAAUUUACUGUUAUUAAUUUUAUAUACUACAAGUGUAGUUUGUAAAAGAUUAACAUUUUUUCUGUUAUACAUGCUAAUAUUAGCAAGAGUGAGAAAUGGCCAAGCCUGUUAAAUUCGUUUUUAAGUGUGUGAUUUUUUGAAUAAUUGUGAAAAGUUUUUAUUACUACUUAAAGUUUGUUCAGAAAGAUAAUGGCUUGAUUUUAACUCAUUUAGGCUUGUGAUCUGAAUUCAU
rnacentral:misc_RNA from 1 species